rnacentral:rRNA from 1 species
AGGAAACUCUGACGCAGCAACACCGCGUGAGUGAUGACGCCCUUUGGGGUGUAAAGCUCUGUCAGUGGGGACGAAUUUUGACGGUACCCACAGAGGAAGCAUCGGCUAACUACGUGCCAGCAGCCGCGGUAAGACGUAGGAUGCAAGCGUUGUCCGGAAUCAUUGGGCGUAAAGCGUUCGUAGCGGCAUGUUAAGUUUGAUGUUAAAGCCCGGGGCUCAACUCCGGUUCGGCAUUGGAUACUGGCAAGCUAGAAUACGGUAGAGGCAAGGGGAAUUCCUGGUGUAGCGGUGAAAUGCGUAGAUAUCAGGAGGAACACCGGUGGCGAAAGCGCCUUGCUGGGCCGUUAUUGACGCUGAGGAACGAAAGCCAGGGGAGCGAAUGGGAUUAGAUACCCCAGUAGUCCUGGCCGUAAACGAUGGAUACUAGGUGUUGUGGGUAUCGACCCCUACAGUGCCGUAGUUAACGCGAUAAGUAUCCCG